rnacentral:rRNA from 1 species
UACGUAGGGUGCGAGCGUUAAUCGGAAUUACUGGGCGUAAAGGGCGCGUAGGCGGCGUGUCAAGUCAGGCGUGAAAGCCCCGGGCUCAACCUGGGAACCGCGCUUGAGACUGGCAUGCUCGAGUUCGGGGAGAGGAUGGUGGAAUUCCCAGUGUAGAGGUGAAAUUCGGUAGAUAUUGGGGAGGAACACCGGCGGCGAAGGCGGCUGCCUGGACCAGUCCUGACGCUGAGGCGCGAAAGGCUAGGGGAGCAAACGG